rnacentral:rRNA from 1 species
UAGGGGAUAACACUUGGAAACAGGUGCUAAUACCGGAUAACAACCAAAACCACCUGGUUUUGGUUUAAAAUAUGGCUUCGGCUAUCACUUUAGGAUGGACCCGCGGCGUAUUAGCUUGUUGGUAAGGUAACGGCCUACCAAGGCAAUGAUACGUAGCCGACCUGAGAGGGUAAUCGGCCACAUUGGGACUGAGACACGGCCCAAACUCCUACGGGAGGCAGCAGUAGGGAAUCUUCCACAAUGGACGAAAGUCUGAUGGAGCAACGCCGCGUGAGUGAUGAAGGGUUUCGGCUUGUAAAACUCUGUUGUUGGAGAAGAACAGGUGUGAGAGUAACUGUUCACAUCUUGACGGUAUCCAACCAGAAAGCCACGGCUAACUACGUGCCAGCAGCCGCGGUAAUACGUAGGUGGCAAGCGUUGUCCGGAUUUAUUGGGCGUAAAGCGAGCGCAGGCGGUUUCUUAGGUCUGAUGUGAAAGCCUUCGGCUUAACCGGAGAAGUGCAUCAGAAACCAGGAGACUUGAGUGCAGAAGAGGACAGUGGAACUCCAUGUGUAGCGGUGAAAUGCGUAGAUAUAUGGAAGAACAC